AAGGAUCAUUACCGAGAGAGGGACGGCCCCCGCCGCUCCCCGGGGGGCCUCGCCCCCCACCUCUUCAACCCUGUGUGUAUCUACCUCUGUUGCUUCGGCGAGCGUCGGGGCGCCUGGCGCCCCGGCCCCGGCUUCGGCCGGUGCGUUCUCGCCAGAGGCCCAAGCCCAUUCUGUUUCCAGUCACGUCCGAGCACACCGAUUGAAUCAAUCAAAACUUUCAACAACGGAUCUCUUGGUUCUG
rnacentral:misc_RNA from 1 species